rnacentral:rRNA from 1 species
GACGAACGCUGGCGGCGUGCUUAACACAUGCUAGUCGAACGGAAAGGCCCUGCUUUUGUGGGGUGCUCGCGUGGCGAACGGGUGAGUAACACGUGAGUAACCUGCCCUUGACUUUGGGAUAACUUCAGGAAACUGGGGCUAAUACCGGAUAGGAGCUCCUGCUGCAUGGUGGGGGUUGGAAAGUUUCGGCGGUUGGGGAUGGACUCGCGGCUUAUCAGCUUGUUGGUGGGGUAGUGGCUUACCAAGGCUUUGACGGGUAGCCGGCCUGAGAGGGUGACCGGCCACAUUGGGACUGAGAUACGGCCCAGACUCCUACGGGAGGCAGCAGUGGGGAAUAUUGCACAAUGGGCGGAAGCCUGAUGCAGCAACGCCGCGUGCGGGAUGACGGCCUUCGGGUUGUAAACCGCUUUCGCCUGUGACGAAGCGUGAGUGACGGUAAUGGGUAAAGAAGCACCGGCUAACUACGUGCCAGCAGCCGCGGUGAUACGUAGGGUGCGAGCGUUGUCCGGAUUUAUUGGGCGUAAAGGGCUCGUAGGUGGUUGAUCGCGUCGGAAGUGUAAUCUUGGGGCUUAACCCUGAGCGUGCUUUCGAUACGGGUUGACUUGAGGAAGGUAGGGGAGAAUGGAAUUCCUGGUGGAGCGGUGGAAUGCGCAGAUAUCAGGAGGAACACCAGUGGCGAAGGCGGUUCUCUGGGCCUUUCCUGACGCUGAGGAGCGAAAGCGUGGGGAGCGAACAGGCUUAGAUACCCUGGUAGUCCACGCUGUAAACGGUGGGUACUAGGUGUGGGGUCCAUUCCACGGGUUCCGUGCCGUAGCUAACGCUUUAAGUACCCCGCCUGGGGAGUACGGCCGCAAGGCUAAAACUCAAAGGAAUUGGCGGGGCCCCGCACAAGCGGCGGAGCAUGCGGAUUAAUUCGAUGCAACGCGUAGAACCUUACCUGGGUUUGACAUGGAUCGGGAGUGCUCAGAGAUGGGUGUGCCUCUUUUGGGGUCGGUUCACAGGUGGUGCAUGCCUGUCGUCAGCUCGUGUCGUGAGAUGUUGGGUUAAGUCCCGCAACGAGCGCAACCCUUGUUCACUGUUGCCAGCACGUUAUGGUGGGGACUCAGUGGAGACCGCCGGGGUCAACUCGGAGGAAGGUGGGGAUGACGUCAAGUCCUCAUGCCCCUUAUGUCCAGGGCUUCACGCAUGCUACAAUGGCUGGUACAGAGAGUGGCGAGCCUGUGAGGGUGAGCGAAUCUCGGAAAGCCGGUCUCAGUUCGGAUUGGGGUCUGCAACUCGACCUCAUGAAGUCGGAGUCGCUAGUAAUCGCAGAUCAGCAACGCUGCGGUGAAUACGUUCCCGGG